rnacentral:rRNA from 1 species
AGUGAACGCUGGCGGUAUGCCUAACACAUGCAAGUCGAACGGCAGCACAGUAAGAGCUUGCUCUUACGGGUGGCGAGUGGCGGACGGGUGAGGAAUACAUCGGAAUCUACUUUUUCGUGGGGGAUAACGUAGGGAAACUUACGCUAAUACCGCAUACGACCUACGGGUGAAAGCAGUGGAUCUUCGGACCUUGCGCGAUUGAAUGAGCCGAUGUCGGAUUAGCUAGUUGGCGGGGUAAAGGCCCACCAAGGCGACGAUCCGUAGCUGGUCUGAGAGGAUGAUCAGCCACACUGGAACUGAGACACGGUCCAGACUCCUACGGGAGGCAGCAGUGGGGAAUAUUGGACAAUGGGCGAAAGCCUGAUCCAGCCAUACCGCGUGGGUGAAGAAGGCCUUCGGGUUGUAAAGCCCUUUUGUUGGGAAAGAAAAGCAGCAGGUUAAUACCCCGCUGUUCUGACGGUACCCAAAGAAUAAGCACCGGCUAACUUCGUG